GACAGUGAACGAGCCGUGUUGAUUAGCGUUUCGACCCAAUAGUUUGAGCCAGGGAUAAGCCGUGUUUGGUGGUAGUAGAAUAGUUCGCUUUAGUCAUGUGAUGUUUUUAUUGCUGUAUAUCAUUCUGCGAUCAACAAAACCAGGAUAAUGUAAAGCUUGUGUGUAAAAAGGAACAAACUUCGAUGGGACGCCGACAGUGAUGAGUAACCCGAUCAGCUAGAAGAGAGACAAAUCACAUUUCACUAACCCUGUUGGAAAGUAAUUCAAAACAGGUCUUACCAAACAUUGUGCCUAAGGUCUUAAAGUUUUCGAAUAGUAGACGGUUCACGGAAUUUUGGGGAGGUCAAAUUUAAAAUUUUUUUUUAGAAUGGUCAAGGCAUUUCUGUAAAUCUCGCUCAGUAUUAUAAUACACAUGCCUUGCCAAUGUGAGCAUGACUAGAUAGAAUUCCAAGUUUGCACGUAGUCAUUUAUAAAUCAUAAAUAACUGAAGGUGAAAUAAAGGUAUUGCUCUAUUUGCUUUGCUAAAACAAUUCCUUUGUCUCCAAUUUGCACAGCAAAGGACGACCAACACUGC